rnacentral:tRNA from 1 species
GCCUUCAUAGGAGAAUCGGCAUAUCCGCAUGAUUUAUAAAUCAUGAUUUUCCAGGUUCGAAUCCUGGUGGGGGCA